UUUCUGAAUAUACUCUUUGCACUUAAGUUCUUGUUUCAGGGUCAGCCACUGGGACAACCCGAAGUAAGACAUCCGGUGAGGUAAGAAUCACCCUGCCUGCUUCAUAGAUGAGGGAACUGAGGCUCAAGGUCACACGCACGCUUCCCCCACUCUCUCUAGUUGGAUGCUGGGGUUCACAUGGAGCUUCAUGCACACUUGGCAAACCCCGGGGGCAGCUCUGACGGGAGGAUCUUUCCUGGCAUUCUCCACCAUCGACUCCAGUGUUGGCACACUGCCCAUGUCGCUACCACAGAUGAAACCAAGUAGCAGCAAGGGAUGAAUAAUACACUUGGCUCAUCUUUAUUAAUAUGUAUUGAGGUCCAUUGAGUGCCAAGUGCUGACCCACGCCGUGCAAUAAAUAUUAACUCAGGACAAUGACACGGAUCAUUACCUCAGAAAUGAAGGCGGAUAUUAUCCCCAGAUCCCAUAGCUCGGAGGAAGCAACUCAAGGGGGUUAUAAGAACACGGUUUAAAAAGAAAGAGAGGCAGAAAGCCAGUGUCUUCCCAAGUGUCUUCAGUGUCUUUCCAGGCUCUCCCAGGGCAUAUCACCAGCCUUGUCCUUCCUCUGCAGUCCCAGCCGCACCCAACUUCUGGGUCAUUCUUGAGCGGGCUCAUUUCCACCCACAGUGAGCCUUUGGAACUAGCUUGCUGCUAUGGCAGGCAACCUCUAAGAGCCCCAGUCAUCCACGCCUCCUGGUGCUCAUGUCCUCAUGCUGCAUGGAAUCCCCUGGCCUUGGGUGUAGACUCCACUCUCUGACUCAUUUCUGGCAGAACACGGCAAACGUGAUGAGAUGUCACCUCUGAGAUGAGGAUGUGAAACUCUCACUUCCCUCUUGCUGGCACUGUGGCUCUUUCACUCAUUCACUCUAAGGAAAGCCACACUGAGAGCUGCCCUGGGGAGGUGUCCCUGUGGCCAGGAACUGAGGGCAACCCUCCAGCCAACAACCAGCGAAGAACUGAGGCUCUCGGCCCAACAGCCUGCGUGGAAUGGAAUCCCACCAACAACCAUGGCAGUGAGCUUGAAAGUGGCCCCUCCCCAUCUCGAGCCUGAGAUGACCACAGCCCCAGCUGGACCGGGAACGCAGCCUGCAGACUCUGAGAUGGAGGACUCGGGUAAGUUGUGCCUGGAUUUCUGACCCAGAGAAACUGUGAGCUAAUUCAUACAUGCUGUUUUAAGAAAUUUUAGGAUAAUUAUUACACAGCAACAGAUAACUAAUAUAGAUGGCUUCUCAUAAUCUUCAGUGUCGUCCCACCUGACACGGCCAGGCGAACAGUGCCACAUCUAAUGCUGUUACCAGUUCUACUUCUCCCAGUUUCACUUCCAUUAACACUACAAUGCCUGGUGCCAAGGAAGUGCUCAAGAAGUACUGGAUGCCACCUGUCUUAGUCUGUUUGGGCUGCUCUAACAACAUAGCACAGACUGGCUGGCUCAUAGCCAACACAAGUUUAUUUCACACAGUCCUGGAGGCUGGAAGUCCAAGAUCAGGGUGUCACCAUGCUCAAGUGAGGGCUCUCUUCCAGACUGCAGACUUCUUGUUGUGUCCUCACGGGGCAGAGGGGUGAGAAGUUCUCUCAGGAUUCUUCCUAAGGGAACUAAUCCCAUUCAUGAGGGCUCCACCCUCAUGACUUCAUCACAUCCCAAAGGCCCCACCUCUUAAUACCAUCACCUUAGGGCUUAUGGUUUCAACAUAUGAAUUUUCAGGAGACACAAACAUUCAGACCUUGGCCCUACCAUCAUCAACACCAUCAUUAUCAUCAACACCAUCAUUAUCAUCAACAUCAUCAUCAUCACCGUUGUUACUUAACGAUCAUUACUGUGAAGAAGCUUCUGUGUAUUACGGGUAACAAGCCCUUUACCUACAUUAUCAUAUUUAAACCUCACAUCUGAUCUUUUCAAGAUGCAAAUCUGACCCCUGACUCCGAUGCCCCCAUGUUGGCUAAAACAUCUUUUUGAUUUUCCAGUUGUCUUAUGAUGUACAUCAAAAUCCCUGACUCGUUCUAGGCAUCCUUCCACUCUCCCUGUGUCAGGCCGCUGGCUUUGAGUUCCUCCAAAGCCCCUUGCUUCCUCCUGCCUCAGGUUCCCUACACCUGCUGCCCUGUGUGCAGUGCCCCCUCCCUCCCUGUGCCUCCUGUCUCAUGAAUUCCACCUCUGAGCUCUCUGCUCCAGCUCUCAGCUCCGCGUGGCUUCAGCUGACACCUGCCCACCCAGAUUAAAAGGCCUGUGACAGACUCUCACAAGCCCUAUACAUCUCUUUACAGCAUCUUUCCCAGAGCUGAUUUUCUUUAUUUGUUGAUUCUUUGAUGAAUUUCUAUCUCCCUCCCUGGACCCUGAACCCCAUGAGGGUGGAAACUAUAGGUGCCUUCUUCCUUGAACACUGCAAAUGCCUUGUUGGUGUGCCAUUUUUCUCCAGCCCUUUUAAUAGGGCUGCACAAAGUAGGCACUCAAUAGGUACUGAAUGAAUGAGGCAACCAUAUUUUAAAAAUGAGGAAGCUCAGAGAGCUUAAGUAACUUACUCCAGAUCACAAUGCUGAUAAAUGGCAAAGCCAGAUUUGGACUCAGGCAGUGGAAGAGUUAGGAUCUUUAUGUAACCCUUGCACAUAAAAGCACUGCAUUCCUCAGGCCUAAAAUGUCCCUUUUCUUGAUAAACUGGAAGCCACAGAAAGGAGUCUUCCUGGACUCACCUUAAACACCUGGUGAAUCCUGUGUGUUACACAGUAUGUACGUCCCACUUUCAUUCAUUCAGUCAACACACUUUGCCGGAGCCCUGACUAUAUAUAUACCAGACUCUGCUGUGGACUGGGCAGUCAGAGCUGACCAAGAAAGAUAACCUCUUUUCUGAACUUUAAUAGGUAGCUCCAGAGCCUUCCACCUUGUCCCCUCCCCUCCAGGCCAUACAGCUAUCCUACGACAUUGCUCAGCUUAAAAGUCCUUCCUGGCUUCUCACUUCACAGGAGAGGGACUCCACACUGCUGUCACAAUCUGGCACUAACCUAAUUUUCCAACCUUCAAGUGUCCUGCUUUCCAGGCAAACUGAGCCAUUGCUAAUCCCUGUGCACAUCCAGGGCCUUCCAGCUCCGCCUCCCUACCCUCCCCUGACUAUAGGACAAUCAUUUUCUACUCUGUGGUCUUUGUUUUUCAAAUGAACAUCCAUACCCCAGGGCACUGGGUGUUCUUUGAGGAAGGAUCCACUUAUAAUUCAUGUGCUCCUAGUUACACCUCUAGUAAUUCCACUAGCAAUGAAGAUGGGGACUUUGAUAUAGUAGGCAACAAUGAAUACUUGUUGAAAAAAAUGACAUAAAUAAUAAUGUUAGUAAUAACAAUAAGCUAAGAGUUAUUAAGUGUGAACUAUGUCCCUGACACUCCUCAAAAUGCUUCACACGCAUAACUCAUUUAAUCCUCACAACCACUGUGAGAGGCAGUUUCCGACAGGCUCCCGUGGAUCCCUCGCGCCUUCUGGCAGUCACACCAUGUCUAAUCCCCUCCCCUGAGUGUGGGCUGGACCUGGUGACUUACUUCUAAUGAACAGAAUACACAAAAGUGAUAGGAUGCCACCUCUGAGGUUAGGUGACAAAAGACUAGGACUUCCGGCUGGCUGGCAUUCUCUCUUUUCCUCUCCCUUGCUCUCUCUGAUCAUCAAACUGACACGCUGCGAGCUGCCUUACGCAGAGAUCCAUAUGGCGAGGGACCAUGGGAAGCUCCUGGACAACAGCGUGGGAGUAACUGAGAGCUGGAACUCAGACCCAACCAUCGGAAAGCAACUGUAUCCUGACAACACCGCCUUGAGUGAGCUUGGAACCUGACCCACCUCAAGCCUUCAAGUCAGUGCAGCCACAGCUGAGCCCGUGACUGCAGCCUUGAGAGAGGCCCAGAGCCAGAGGACCCACAUGGGCCGUGCCUAAGCCCUUGACCCACGAAAACUGUGAGAUGGUAAAUGUUUUUCAAGCCACUGAGUUUUGGGGUAAUAUGUUACACAGCAAUAGAUAGCCAAUACAACCACUUAAGUACUCUUACUACCCCAUUUUGUAGAUUAGUAAAGCAAGGCCCAGAAUGGUUCAGCAAUUUCAUGCAAAUCAUGCAGCUCAUAAGCAGCAGAGCCAGGAUUUGACCCAAGGCAGUCUGGCUCCAGAAUCUUCACUCUC
rnacentral:lncRNA from 1 species